GAUGAACGCUGGCGGCGUGCCUAACACAUGCAAGUCGAGCGAAGCACUUACUUUAGAUUUCUUCGGAAUGACGAAGUUUGUGACUGAGCGGCGGACGGGUGAGUAACGCGUGGGCAACCUGCCCUGUACAGGGGGAUAACAGUUAGAAAUGACUGCUAAUACCGCAUAAGCCCACAGCUUCGCAUGAAGCAGUGGGAAAAACUCCGGUGGUACAGGAUGGGCCCGCGUCUGAUUAGCUAGUUGGUAAGGUAACGGCUUACCAAGGCGACGAUCAGUAGCCGACCUGAGAGGGUGACCGGCCACAUUGGGACUGAGACACGGCCCAAACUCCUACGGGAGGCAGCAGUGGGGAAUAUUGCACAAUGGGGGAAACCCUGAUGCAGCGACGCCGCGUGAGCGAUGAAGUAUUUCGGUAUGUAAAGCUCUAUCAGCAGGGAAGAAGGUGACGGUACCUGACUAAGAAGCCCCGGCUAACUACGUG
rnacentral:rRNA from 1 species